rnacentral:rRNA from 1 species
CCUUAUACCAUAUCACCUUGAACGCGCCAAAUCUCAUCACAUCUCAGAAGCUAAGCAGAAUCUAAGCAUGCCUAGUCCUUGGAUGGGCAACCACCAUGCAUAACAGGUGUUAUAGGCU